rnacentral:rRNA from 1 species
AUGCGCAUGAGGGGUCAUUCCGCUGAUGGCUUUACUUACGACCCGCGGUACGAGCCUUAUAUUCGGAGAUUGGGUCUUCUCCCAUUCGUGUUGCAGUUUAAGCGACGCGCUCCGCCGAUGAACCACGCGGCGUUGACCGCACUUGUGGAUCGUUGGAGGCCGGAGACUCACUCGUUCCACCUUCCAUGUGGGGAGCUGACGAUGACCCUAGAGGACAUGGCUAUGAUAAGCGGCCUUUCUAUCAACGGACAAGCUGUUGCCGGUCGUGUCAGCGUCGUUAAUUGGCGAGAACGGACAGGCAUUUUAAUUGGUGUUCAGCCCGACGACCCUCAAGAAGGCAAGGCCGAUACCGCGAGAGUGAGACAUUCUUGGCUAAAACUAGUCAGAGGAGACACCAAUCCGUGCCCUCAGGGUGCCAAUGACGUGGUUGUGCAACAGUACGCGCGGGCCUAUCUGUGGUAUGUACUAACCAAGGUAGUCUUCUCAGAUGCAACCGGGAACUCAGCCCUCUGGAUGUUUUUGGAGCUACUCAAUAACUGGGAUACCCAGUAUAGCUGGGGUUCGGCCGCACUAGCAUAUUUGUAUCGUCAGCUUGACUUGGCGUGUCGGAGGAAGGGAGAUACAUCCUCAUUGUCUGGGUUUGUUUGGAGCCUAUCCGUGUGGAUGUGCGAGCGGAUCUCGGUUGGACGGCCUGAUUUCAAGAACCCCCUCAUGGCAAACCCACGGGGUAAUCAUGACGGGUUGCAUGAUGAUGAUCCAUAUCGGCGCCCUACGCUUGCUUACUAUUGGGAACAAGUAACAGUCUACACAGGAAGCUCGCAUGUGCAAUACAAGUGCUAUAUGAACGAGCUGGACACCUUGACUGCUGAGCAGGUAUAUUGGUUGCCUUAUGUGGAAGAUCGUGACUUUGAUCUUAAUGAGAUGUGCACGCGUGAUAGCCAUCUUUGGCGGGCGAGGUGCCCAAUGAUAUGCUUCUUCGCAGUCGAGUGGCACUUUGUAGACCGUGUGGCAAGACAAUUUGGAAGAAGACAAGGUAUUCCAAUUGAGGAGAGCAAGGAGGAAAUGUUAUCUCUGCAUUGGUUCGAUCGAAGGAACAAUCAGGAUAUAUCGGAUUGGGCAAACAAACACCGUGCGUGGAUAGAAAUUUGGAAUCAAAGAGGCACGUUAGUGCAAUCAGAGAAUAGACCUCACAAUCAGUCAGCAUAUCAGAAGUAUCAAGUGUGGUAUGCGGAUCGUUACCGGUUGAAGCUGAAGCCUGGUUGGAUUCAUGAGGAGUGGUCGGAGUUGGUGUCUGAAGACCCGGAGACUGCACAAGGUUAUCAAACCUUUAACACGGCUGUGAGAGACACCAGAGGGGCUCACGUUGACUAUGCACCGAUGCAUGACGAAAUGGGCAGAGAGUUGCUUCUGUGCAUCAACGAUGCCAAUGUUGCACUGAGUCAUCCACCUGGUGGUGCAUUAUCUGAGAGGACUCUUAGGAGCACGAUGGAGAAGUUCAAGAAGCGGUUCCAUAAGAUGGCAGCUAUGCUUUCUUGCCAUGGUGCUCAGUCCAGUGACGUGUAUGCACCUGGUAGCCACGCCGCCAGAGCUAAUAAACGGCGUUAUGUCCAGAACGAAGAGGACAUAGAGGAGGAGGUCAAUGAAGAGGAGCCAACACAUCAUGAUGAGCAUGAGUAUGAUGCAACACAUCAAGAGGAUCAUGAGUAUGAUGUUGAUGCUCCACAACCAUCACAGGUUACACAACCGACACAAGGCAAUGCCCGCUCUAAAAAAGGCAAAGCAAUAGCUAAGACACCGGGCCAGAAAGGUAGAAAGAAGAUAUGGAACACUCAAUUCCAUAGUCCGGAGUAUCCUCAUCAAUUUAUGCCUACGGGAAUGCAAAGAUAUAAGUCCAACAAUGAUGCGGAGGCGGAGGAGGCUAGCGAAGAGGAGGAGCAUGAGGCUAGCGAAGAGGAGGAGCAUACACUUGCAGACAUCGUGAAGAGAGGAAGGAAGAAGUGA